AUACAUGCAGUCGAGCGGACCGACGGGAGCUUGCUCCCUUAGGUCAGCGGCGGACGGGUGAGUAACACGUGGGUAACCUGCCUGUAAGACUGGGAUAACUCCGGGAAACCGGGGCUAAUACCGGAUGCUUGAUUGAACCGCAUGGUUCAAUUAUAAAAGGUGGCUUCGGCUACCACUUACAGAUGGACCCGCGGCGCAUUAACUAGUUGGUGAGGUAACGGCUCACCAAGGCAACGAUGCGUAGCCGACCUGAGAGGGUGAUCGGCCACACUGGGACUGAAACACGGCCCAAACUCCUACGGGAGGCAGCAGUAGGGAAUCUUCCGCAAUGGACGAAAGUCUGACGGAACAACGCCGCGUGAGUGAUGAAGGUUUUCGGAUCGUAAAACUCUGUUGUUAGGGAAGAACAAGUACCGUUCGAAUAGGGCGGUACCUUGACGGUACCUAACCAGAAAGCCACGGCUAACUACGUGCCAGCAGCCGCGGUAAUACGUAAGUGGCAAGCGUUGUCCGGAAUUAUUGGGCGUAAAGCGCGCGCAGGCGGUUUCUUAAGUCUGAUGUUGAAAGCCCCCGGCUCAACCGGGGGAAGGGUCAUUGGAAACUGGGGAACUUGAGUGCAGAAAAGGAGAAGU
rnacentral:rRNA from 1 species